GUUUAACUAACAUGAUCAAGAUCUCCUAACCAGUUAAGUGGUGAAGUUGGAAUUUUUACCCAAGUCUGUUUGCUAAAUGUAUGCUCUUCAUCAUUACAUCUACAUAGGACCAGCUACAUAACUUGUAGUGCCCAGUGCAAAAUGAAAAUGCACCCUAGGCUGUGAUCCUGGAACUGAACAUCUGAUGAGUCAAUACAGGGCACGGAGUAGGACUUUGAAGUCCUCCAUUGGAUCUUCUCGGAAGAUGAGGGAAAUGAGAGAGUGUGGAGAGAGAUUUUGUAAGUCCGGUCUGGAAGUGGUCAUUGUUCAGAAUCCAGCCACGUGGGUACAUGGAACUGUAAGGCUAUUUCAACAUGGGAAACUGAAAUCGGGCAUAUCCCUGCGGAAGAAGCUGUCUCUUAGCGAAGAAUAAAACUGUGGACUGACCCCCACCCAUUUGCGAAGAAAGUACUGGGUCUUCAGCUUUCAUUGUUCAGCCGGUGGUCUUUGUGGACAACACCAGGGGCCCCUCCUGCUGAAGACUGUCUGGACUUCCUGAUUUUCACUCCUGUAUAAACCCCCUCCCCCAUUACUACCUUUGUCUCCUUGGGGAAAAAAAAUGUUUUUCACUUAAGCAAAAUAAUAACUACCCAGUAUUUGUUUCUGGAGUGAAAUUGUAAACUUCAUUGUACAUUCUUCCUGGCUUUGAUGCUUAUCGUGAAGAGUUCAGUGAAAAUAAAUUGUUUUUAUGAAAGCAGAGAAACCAUUUGAUAAACACGCUGUCUCUGAAAAUCGUUCCUGCAAAAGAGGUCAUUCUUUCACUUUAAAAGAAAUAGAAUAUAUUUCAGAAAACAGGCAGGACAACAUACAAAUUUUUUUUUAAGGCAGAGUGUAAAUACAGUGAAAAUUGCACACCUCCUGAUUGUGUGGAGUGUUUUGG
rnacentral:lncRNA from 1 species